AUAUAGCGGAUAGAUGAGGAUUGGGUCGAGACAUUGAAUCCUAUGGUGCUAAGAUAAGAGAUGGACUCGAUGGUUGAUAAAGACAUAACGAGUGGCAUAUAAAUAACAAUGACAACAGAACGAGUGGCAUAAAACUUAGUGCAAAGUGACACUUGACAUGUGAACUUAGGGAUAGGCGGAUUCCCUAGAGAUGAGUCAUUGAACAAGAACCUAGUGUAGUUAAACACUUGCAUAUGGAUAUUGGGAUAG
rnacentral:lncRNA from 1 species